CACUCCACUCAUCCCCAGAGAGACCGCGCUCACUCGCUCACUCACACUGAUCACAGCAGGACUACUGGCGACGCGGUCACGGAAAAUAACAGCCGGACACAGACAAACGAGUCCCGCAAAGUGUAUUUUUAAGCUUAUGUUAGAGAGACGGCUGACAGAGCAUCUUCGUCAUCUCUAACCGUCACUCCCGCCACAGAUCUGAAGCGAGUGCAAAGGCAGAGAGGGGCGGUGUGAUGUCAUUGGCAGCAAGAAGGCUGCAAUACUAAUAUGGGCCUGAAAUGAAGAACAAUAUUAGUCAUUCAAGCUAUGAUCCUGGCAGAUCUACUAUCUGAAAAAAAAGACUCAGCAGAUUUUUUUCAAGACACACAAGGUAGGACACAGUUCAGAACUUUAUAUUUACUUGGCAACAUUUUUCUGAGAUCAGCAGAAAUUACUGAAUAGUUGAUCUAGGGACGUUCAUUUUAACCGGUUAACCAUUAACCGACCGUUAAGAAUUUUGACAGAUUAAAACAAUCAGUUAAACGGUUUAAAAAGUCAUUUAUUUAUUUUCAGUAAUUUAUCAAAAUAUUUAAAAAGGUUUGCUGCAUGGUUAAAAUAUGAUACGCGUAUACAUGUUUUUAG